rnacentral:rRNA from 1 species
UACCAGCUCUCCGAGUGGUAGGGAUGUUUAUUGGGCUUAAAGCGUCCGUAGCCGGCUUAGCAAGUCUCCAGUUAAAUUCAGCGACCUAAUCGUUGAGCCGCGGGAGAUACUACUAGGCUAGGAGGCGGGAGAGGUCAACGGUACUUCCGGGGUAGGGGUGAAAUCCUAUAAUCCCGGGAGGACCACCAGUGGCGAAGGCUGUUGACUAGAACGCGCUCGACGGUGAGGGACGAAAGCUGGGGGAGCGAACCGGAUUAGAUACCCGGGUAGUCCCAGCUGUAAACGAUGCGAGCUAGGUGUUGGGGUGGCUACGUGCCACUUCAGUGCCGCAGGGAAGCCAUUAAGCUCGCCGCCUGGGGAGUACGGCCGCAAGGCUGAAACUUAAAGGAAUUGGCGGGGGAGCACCACAAGGCGUGAAGCUUGCGGUUC